GUCAGCUCGUGUCGUGAGAUGUUGGGUUAAGUCCCGCAACGAGCGCAACCCUUGAUCUUAGUUGCCAGCAUUUAGUUGGGCACUCUAAGGUGACUGCCGGUGACAAACCGGAGGAAGGUGGGGAUGACGUCAAAUCAUCAUGCCCCUUAUGACCUGGGCUACACACGUGCUACAAUGGAUGGUACAAAGGGCUGCAAGACCGCGAGGUCAAGCCAAUCCCAUAAAACCAUUCUCAGUUCGGAUUGUAGGCUGCAACUCGCCUACAUGAAGCUGGAAUCGCUAGUAAUCGCGGAUCAGCAUGCCGCGGU
rnacentral:rRNA from 2 species